rnacentral:rRNA from 1 species
UAGGGAAUCUUCGGCAAUGGACGGAAGUCUGACCGAGCAACGCCGCGUGAGUGAAGAAGGUUUUCGGAUCGUAAAGCUCUGUUGUUAGAGAAGAACGUUGGUAGGAGUGGAAAAUCUACCAAGUGACGGUAACUAACCAGAAAGGGACGGCUAACUACGUGCCAGCAGCCGCGGUAAUACGUAGGUCCCGAGCGUUGUCCGGAUUUAUUGGGCGUAAAGCGAGCGCAGGCGGUUCUUUAAGUCUGAAGUUAAAGGCAGUGGCUUAACCAUUGUACGCUUUGGAAACUGGAGGACUUGAGUGCAGAAGGGGAGAGUGGAAUUCCAUGUGUAGCGGUGAAAUGCGUAGAUAUAUGGAGGAACACCGGUGGCGAAAGCGGCUCUCUGGUCUGUAACUGACGCUGAGGCUCGAAAGCGUGGGGAGCAAACAGGAUUAGAUACCCUGGUAGUCCACGCCGUAAACGAUGAGUGCUAGGUGUUGGGCCCUUUCCGGGGCUUAGUGCCGCAGCUAACGCAUUAAGCACUCCGCCUGGGGAGUACGACCGCAAGGUUG